AGUGAACGCUGGCGGCGUGCCUAAUACAUGCAAGUCGAACGAAGUGGCGCACGGGUGAGUAAUAUAUAGUUAAUCUGCCCUACACAGAGGAACAACAGUUGGAAACGACUGCUAAUACCUCAUAGUGUAGGAUGAGACUAUAUCGUAUCAGCUAGUUGGUAAGGUAGUGGCCUACCAAGGCGACGACGGGUAGCCGGCCUGAGCGGGCGACCGGCCACAUUGGGACUGAGAUACGGCCCAAACUCCUACGGGAGGCAGCAGUGGGGAAUAUUGCACAAUGGGGGAAGCGCUGAUGCAGCAACGCCGCGUGGAGGAUGACACUUUUCGGAGCGUAAACUCCUUUUAUCAGGAAAGCGGUACCUGAUGAAUAAGCACCGGCUAACUCCGUGCCAGCAGCCGCGGUAAUUC
rnacentral:rRNA from 1 species